AUUGAACGCUGGCGGCAUGCCUUACACAUGCAAGUCGAACGGCAGCACGGGGGGCAACCCUGGUGGCGAGUGGCGAACGGGUGAGUAAUAUAUCGGAACGUGCCCUGGAGUGGGGGAUGACUAGUCGAAAGAUUAGCUAAUACCGCAUACGAUCUACGGAUGAAAGUGGGGACCGCAAGGCCUCAUGCUCGUGGAGCGGCCGAUAUCUGAUUAGCUAGUUGGNGGGGUAAGAGCCCACCAAGGCGACGAUCGGUAGCUGGUCUGAGAGGACGACCAGCCACACUGGGACUGAGACACGGCCCAGACUCCGUACGGGAGGCAGCAGUGGGGAAUAUUGGACAAUGGGCGCAAGCCUGAUCCAGCCAU
rnacentral:rRNA from 1 species